ACCCUACGGGAGGCAGCAGUGAGGAAUAUUGGUCAAUGGGCGGAAGCCUGAACCAGCCAAGUCGCGUGAGGGAAUAAGGCCCUACGGGUCGUAAACCUCUUUUGCCGGGGAGCAAGGGCCGGGACGCGUCCCGGCCCGGAGAGUACCCGGAGAAAAAGCAUCGGCUAACUCCGUGCCAGCAGCCGCGGUAAUACGGAGGAUGCGAGCGUUAUCCGGAUUUAUUGGGUUUAAAGGGUGCGUAGGCGGGCUUUUAAGUCAGAGGUGAAAAUUCGGGUCUCAACCCCGUCCGGCCGUUGAAACCGGGG
rnacentral:rRNA from 1 species